GGACUACCGGGGUUUCUAAUCCUGUUUGAUCCCCACGCUUUCGUGCCUCAGCGUCAAUAAUAGUGUAGUGAGCUGCCUUCGCAAUGGGUGUUCUAUGUCAUAUCUAAGCAUUUCACCGCUACAUGACAUAUUCCGCUCACCUCCACUAUAUUCAAGACAAAUAGUAUCCACGGCAGUUUCCAAGUUAAGCUUGGAGAUUUCACCACGGACUUACCUGCCCGCCUACGCACCCUUUAAACCCAGUGAAUCCGGAUAACGCUUGCACCCUCCGUAUUACCGCGGCGGCUGGCAC
rnacentral:rRNA from 2 species